UAACUGCGUGCAGACGUGUGAACUGCAGGACACAUGAACACCGACGUUUCGAACGCAAAUGGCGGUCUAAAGUAAAUUUUAGACCACGUCUGGCUGAGGGUCGGAUUUGAAAUAAAACCAAAAGUUACUCAAACCAAUGGCCUACGUUUUAUGUAUAUGUGGCCUGUUUGAUGAUUUUUCAUCGCUGGGUUUUACAGCCCAGUUAGAAUUUUGAGUGUGGCUAUGGAAGCUUUUUAGUUAUUUAAAAGCUAGCUAAUUUGAACUAUAAACGUAAAAUUUGGCGAAAACAUGUCACACUUUUAAUAAAAAAAAUAUAUAAAUCCAUACGACCUCAGAGUAGGCGAGAUUACCCGCUAAAUUUAA
rnacentral:misc_RNA from 1 species